GUGAAAUAGUUCCUGAAACCAUGUGCUUACAAUCCGUCAGAGCACUUUUUUUGGUGUGAUGGCGUGCCUUUUGAAGAAUGAGCCUGCGAGUCAGCGGCAUGUCGCGAGGUUAACCCGUGUGGGGUAGCCGUAGGGAAACCGAAUCCUAAUGGGGUGUUUUAGUGGCGUGUCCUGGACCCGAAGCGGGGUGAUCUACCCAUGGCCAGUGUGAAGCA
rnacentral:rRNA from 1 species